GUGCUCGCUUUGGCAGCACAUAUACUAAAAUCGGAACAAGACAGGACAGGUCAGCAGGGCCCCUGUGCAAGGAUGACACGCAGAUUGUUGAAGCUUCCAUGUUUUUA